rfam:Paenibacillus polymyxa SC2, complete genome.
UAUACAUUUAAGCCGAAUUUCUAUGAGAAAACGGGGGAACCAUGUUACUGGGGUGAAUUUUACAGCCGAUCCUGAUGGACCGGAAGUGUAAAUAGGGCAUACUGUGCUGUCCGAAUCCGUCAGCUAACCUCGUAGGCUGUGGGCAGGAACCAA